ACACUGUCCUUUGGCCACCGGACAUCAUGCCUCCCAAGAAGGAUGUUCCCGUGAAGAAACCAGCAGGGCCCUCCAUCUCCAAACCUGCUGCUAAGCCAGCAGCAGCAGGGGCUCCUCCAGCCAAGACCAAAGCUGAGCCAGCUGUCCCCCAGGCCCCUCAGAAAACCCAGGAGCCUCCAGUCGAUCUCUCCAAAGUGGUGAUCGAGUUUAACAAGGACCAGCUGGAGGGUGAGGAGAAGCUGGUCUAAGCCCACUGUCCCAUCCCCAAUCCCCUGGUCAGAUUCUCUUUCUAUUCCCCUAACCCCAGUCCUGACCUUGAAACCUCCCAUACUAGUCCUCUUUUCCUCCCUUGUUCUGUUCACAUAGUUUCUGAAAUUCCUUCUGUCUGGGGGUGAUGGGAACCCUAGUCAGUGUCUACACUGAUCCUUCCUUAUACUUUAGAGUUCAAGGAGGCCUUCGAGUUGUUUGACCGAGUGGGGGAUGGCAAGAUCCUGUACAGCCAGUGUGGGGACGUGAUGAGGGCCCUGGGCCAGAACCCCACCAACGCCGAGGUGCUCAAGGUCCUGGGGAACCCCAAGAGUGAUGAGCUGAAGUCCCGGCGUGUGGACUUUGAGACUUUCCUGCCCAUGCUCCAGGCAGUGGCCAAGAACCGAGGCCAAGGCACAUAUGAGGACUACUUGGAGGGGCUUCGUGUGUUUGACAAGGAGGGGAACGGCAAAGUCAUGGGAGCAGAGCUCAGACAUGUUCUCACCACCCUCGGAGAGAAGAUGACUGAGGAGGAGGUGGAGACUGUUCUGGCAGGACAUGAGGACAGCAACGGCUGCAUCAACUACGAGGCCUUCUUGAAACACAUCCUAAGCGUCUGAGUGCUGCAGAUCCAGUGGGGUCCGGACACUGGGCCCCGCAGGCGGAAACACGUUCCAGCCACCAGGAGGCCACCUAUUGUUUCAAAAUAAAGACUGGGUUCCUC
rnacentral:sRNA from 1 species